UACGAAGGGGGCUAGCGUUGUUCGGAUUUACUGGGCGUAAAGGGCGCGCAGGCGGUCUUGAAAGUCAGGCGUGAAAGCCCCGGGCUUAACCUGGGAAUUGCGCUUGAUACUCUGAGACUGGAGUACGGGAGAGGAGAGUGGAAUUCCCAGUGUAGAGGUGAAAUUCGUAGAUAUUGGGAAGAACACCAGUGGCGAAGGCGGCUCUCUGGACCGUAACUGACGCUGAGGCGCGAAAGCGUGGGGAGCAAACAGG
rnacentral:rRNA from 1 species